rnacentral:rRNA from 1 species
GACGAACGCUGGCGGCGUGCCUAACACAUGCAAGUCGAACGGAGUCGGCCCCGCAAGGGACUGACUUAGUGGCGAACGGGUGAGUAACGCGUGAGCAACCUGCCUUUCAGUGGGGGACAACAGUUGGAAACGACUGCUAAUACCGCAUAAUGCAUUUUGACCGCAUGAUCGAGAUGCCAAAGAUUUAUUGCUGAAAGAUGGGCUCGCGUCUGAUUAGAUAGUUGGUGAGGUAACGGCCCACCAAGUCGACGAUCAGUAGCCGGACUGAGAGGUUGAACGGCCACAGUGGGACUGAGAUACGGCCCAGACUCCUACGGGAGGCAGCAGUGGGGAAUAUUGGGCAAUGGGGGAAACCCUGACCCAGCAACGCCGCGUGAAGGAAGAAGGCUUUCGGGUUGUAAACUUCUUUUACCAGGGACGAAGAAAGUGACGGUACCUGGAGAAAAAGCCACGGCUAACUACGUG